CCGGUCGAGAGAAGCGGCCAUCUUUGGGUGCCUGAUCGGUCCCGGCCGCCGGUCCUGCGGCGGCUAGAGCAAUGGGGAUGUUCGGCUUAUUUCCUCACCAGGUGGCAGCACUGCCUUCUUUGGACACAGAAACUGUGGCGGCGAAUGCGCCACUGUGUUUUACACUGUGUGGAGUCGGUGCGGUGUCGGUCCGAGGGACUGAAUUUCGGUGAAUUUGAUAGCAAUUGAUUUGAAUUUUGCUCAGAUGGGUUGUGAAUUUAUAUUCAGCAAGUGUCACAAACAUGGAAAGGCAAGUUUACAAAGGACAGGAGACUUAGAAAGGCUUCAAUUGACGUAGCCGAAGAGAGGCGAGAAGCCGAAGAUAGACCGACUCCAAACGGUGCCCAGUGCAAUCAUGCUUCUGGUGCGGAGUUGUCAGGAUGGAGUCCGAGGAAUCAAGGAAGGCAGAGGACCUGCGUAUGAAGGAACCAGCCCUGUGGAUGAAGAUCUGAGGUGCAUACAGAGGGAUCCCACUGAAGGACCAGGUGCAAUGCUGCAUUGAUAAGAUCCAGAUUCAAGAGCAUGGAUGCUACCAGAUCCUGUGAUUUGAAGUUACCUACCAGUGUCACUGCUGCUACAAAUGACAUCAGCAACACUUCCUUUGGUGAAAGUUUAGAGGAGCAAACAGUUGGUACUCUGUGUAGUCAAGCAGUGGAGUUUUGCCACAAUCAAUCAGCUCUAGAAGAGCUGUCGUCAUAGCAAUGCUUCAUAUGUGAAGGAUACUUGCCUGAACAGAACAUUGUGGAUUUGUUAAUUAAGUACCUCUUUAUUACAAGUUUGUGCCCAUUACAAGCCAAGCCAAGCUUAGUUUACUUAGUUCGUUGCAAGUUUUCCAGGCAGCCUUCACACUUGUGUCGCUGAAUAUUAAACUUUGACUGAUAGACCGACGAGAUAUUGUCCCUUUCGCAUCAGAUUGUAAUCAGUCAGUUGUGUUGGUAGAAGGUACAGUCAGCCUUAAAAGUACCGCGCAAAGUGACGGUGGAUCCAUCAAGCCUGACCGAGGAAGGGCCUGCUAUAAUUUGAAAGUCACCGAACCAGUUGACCUGGGGAACGGACGAGGAUGUCAUAUAGAGCCACGCAGAAAUCGCCGGUGAUUCGUUGCCCAUCAUUACAGAAUGAACGCAUGCCGGAUGAAGGGUUAAGUCAAUAAUCUGUACAAACUACAGGGAUGUGAUUGACUUAUCUGACAGUGACGAGCGCUAGAGGUCAACUUAAGACCGUAGGUAUGCGUUCUUGUCAUGGAAUGUGUGCUGUAAAUCGAUUGUUUCAUGCGUGUGAAUAUAUGUCUGAAUGUAA